GUCGCUUUGGCGGAGUGGUUAACGCGCUGCCCUGCUAUUACUCAGUAUAGGCAGUUCCCUCGGGAGCGUAGGUUCGAAUCCUGCAGGCGACG
rnacentral:tRNA from 1 species